rnacentral:rRNA from 1 species
CCUACGGGCGGCUGCAGUGGGGAAUAUUGGACAAUGGGGGGAACCCUGAUCCAGCCAUGCCGCGUGUGUGAAGAAGGCCCUCGGGUUGUAAAGCACUUUCAGUGAGGAAGAACGCCUGGUGGUUAAUACCCAUCAGGAAAGACAUCACUCACAGAAGAAGCACCGGCUAACUCCGUGCCAGCAGCCGCGGUAAUACGGAGGGUGCGAGCGUUAAUCGGAAUUACUGGGCGUAAAGCGCGCGUAGGUGGCUUGAUAAGCCGGUUGUGAAAGCCCCGGGCUCAACCUGGGAACGGCAUCCGGAACUGUCAAGCUAGAGUGCAGGAGAGGAAGGUAGAAUUCCCGGUGUAGCGGUGAAAUGCGUAGAGAUCGGGAGGAAUACCAGUGGCGAAGGCGGCAUUCUGGACUGACACUGACACUGAGGUGCGAAAGCGUGGGUAGCAAACAGGAUUAGAUACCCUAGUAGUC